rnacentral:rRNA from 1 species
AACUAACAAGGAUUCCCCUAGUAACUGCGAGUGAAGCGGGAAAAGCUCAAAUUUAAAAUCUGUCAGUCUUUGGCUGUCCGAGUUGUAAUCUAGAGAAGUGUUAUCCGCGCUGGACCGUGUACAAGUCUCCUGGAAUGGAGCGUCAUAGAGGGUGAGAAUCCCGUCUUUGACACGGACUGCCAGGGCUUUGUGAUGCGCUCUCAAAGAGUCGAGUUGUUUGGGAAUGCAGCUCAAAAUGGGUGGUAAAUUCCAUCUAAAGCUAAAUAUUGGCGAGAGACCGAUAGCGAACAAGUACCGUGAGGGAAAGAUGAAAAGAACUUUGGAAAGAGAGUUAAACAGUACGUGAAAUUGCUGAAAGGGAAACGCUUGAAGUCAGUCGCGUUGACCAGGGAUCAACCCUUGCUUUUGCUUGGUGUACUUUCUGGUUGACGGGUCAGCAUCAAUUUUGACUAUUGGAAAAAGAUCAGGGGAAUGUGGCAUCUUUGGAUGUGUUAUAGCCUCUGGUUGUAUACAAUGGUUGGGAUUGAGGAACUCAGCACGCGCCGCAAGGCCGGGUUUUUAACCACGUACGUGCUUAGGAUGCUGGCAUAAUGGCUUUAAUCGACCCGUCUUGAAACACGGACCAAGGAGUCUAACAUGCCUGCAAGUGUUUGGGUGGAAAACCCGAGCGCGUAAUGAAAGUGAAAGUUGAGAUCCCUGUCGUGGGGAGCAUCGACGCCCGGACCAGAUCUUUUGUGACGGUUCCGCGGUAGAGCAUGUAUGUUGGGACCCGAAAGAUGGUGAACUAUGCCUGAAUAGGGUGAAGCCAGAGGAAACUCUGGUGGAGGCUCGUAGCGAUUCUGACGUGCAAAUCGAUCGUCAAAUUUGGGUAUAGGGGCGAAAGACUAAUCGAACCAUCUAGUAGCUGGUUCCUGCCGA